rnacentral:rRNA from 1 species
GAUGAACGCUGGCGGCGUGCCUAAUACAUGCAAGUCGAGCGAACGGACGAGAAGCUUGCUUCUCUGAUGUUAGCGGCGGACGGGUGAGUAACACGUGGAUAACCUACCUAUAAGACUGGGAUAACUUCGGGAAACCGGAGCUAAUACCGGAUGAUAUUUUGAACCGCAUGGUUCAAAAGUGAAAGACGGUCUUGCUGUCACUUAUAGAUGGAUCCGCGCUGCAUUAGCUAGUUGGUAAGGUAACGGCUUACCAAGGCAACGAUGCAUAGCCGACCUGAGAGGGGGACAGGCCAACUGGAACUGGAGACAGGGUCAGGAUCCUACGGGGAGGCAGCGGGGGGAAUACUGCAGCAAGGGCGGAAAGCUUGACGGAGCAACGCGGGGUGGUUGAGGAAGGUCUCGGGUUGGUAAAACCUUUUGAUGGGGGAAAAAAACAGGUGUAAGAAACCGUGCAGUUCUGAAGGUAACCUAAGAAGAAGGCCCGGCUAACUUCGUG